rnacentral:rRNA from 1 species
UACAGAGGUCCCAAGCGUUGUUCGGAAUUCCUGGGCGUACAGGGUUUGUAGGUGGCUUGCUCAGUCAGACGUGAGAUCCCUCAGCUUAACUGGGGAACUGCGUCUGAUACUAGCGAGCUUGAGUGCAGGAGAGGAACGCGGAAUUCCAGGUGUAGCGGUGAAAUGCGUAGAUAUCUGGAGGAACACCGGUGGCGAAGGCGGCGUUCUGGACUGCAACUGACACUGAAAAACGAAAGCCAGGGGAGCAAACGGG